rnacentral:rRNA from 1 species
AUUGAACGCUGGCGGCAUGCCUUACACAUGCAAGUCGAACGGUAACAGGUCUUCGGAUGCUGACGAGUGGCGAACGGGUGAGUAAUACAUCGGAACGUGCCCAGUCGUGGGGGAUAACGAAGCGAAAGCUUUGCUAAUACCGCAUACGAUCUACGGAUGAAAGCGGGGGAUCGCAGGACCUCGCGCGAUUGGAGCGGCCGAUGGCGGAUUAGGUAGUUGGUGGGGUAAAGGCUUACCAAGCCUACGAACUGUAGCUGGUCUGUGAGGACGACCAGCCACACUGGUACUGAGACACGGCCCAAACUCCUACGGGAGUCAGCAGUGGGGAAUUUUGGACAAUGGGCGCAAGCCGGUUCCAGCAAUGCCGCGUGCAGGAUGAAGGCCUUCGGGUUGUAAACUGCUUUUGUACGGAACGAAAAGCGCUGGGUUAAUACCCUGGGGUCAUGACGGUACCGUAAGAAUAAGCACCGGCUAACUACGUGCCAGCCGCCGCCGUAACAC